rnacentral:rRNA from 1 species
UGCCAGCCGCCGCGGUAAUACGGAGGGGGUUAGCGUUGUUCGGAAUUACUGGGCGUAAAGCGCGCGUAGGCGGAGUAUUAAGUCUCAUGUGAAAGCCCUGGGCUCAACCUGGGAACUGCAUGGGAUACUGGUAUUCUAGAAUACAGUAGAGGGAGGUGGAAUUUCAGGUGUAGCGGUGAAAUGCGUAGAGAUCUGAGGAACACCGAUGGCGAAGGCAUCUCUCUGGGUCGAUAUUGACGCUGAGGCGCGAAGGCGUGGGUAGCGAACGGGAUUAGAUA